GGGAAACUUACCAGGUCCGGACUUAGUAAGGAUGUACAGAUUGAUAGCUCUUUACAGAUUCUAAGGGUGGUGGUGCAUGGCCGUUCUUAGUUGGUGGAGUGAUUUGUCUGGUUAAUUCCGUUAACGAACGAGACCUUAACCUGCUAAAUAGAAGUGCCUAUCUUCGGAUAAGCGUCUUUCUUCUUAGAGGGACUUUAUGCGUUUCAGCAUGAGGAAGUUUGAGGCUAAAA
rnacentral:rRNA from 1 species